UAAAUAUAUAAAAAAAAAACCUUCCUCCCUUGCUCCCGAGAUCCCCUGCUCCCGAGAUCCCCUUUCUUCUUUCUGCUGCGCGCCGACGUCCUCAACAUUUCGCCGUCUAAGAUUCCGAUUGUCCAAGAUAUAGAUACGACUUGCUUUCAAGAGGCGGCAUCCAUUGCUGAAAGCCUCUACGGUAUCAUCAAGCAUAAUGGUCCACUCACUGUCAGCAACACUUGAAAUCACGCCAAGGAAGCUAGUAUUGAUGGAUUGAACAGCAAGACCCACAUGAAGAUAAUGCUCAAAUGGAUGAGGGGAAAGAAUAUGUUGAAGUUAUUAUGUCAACAUAUUGGCAACAACAAAAAAUUAAUGCACACGACUCUACCCGAAGAUCCCCAACCAGACCAUUUGAAGAACUCCUUAGACAAGGACAAGUGAGAAGAAGCCUUCUGCAAAACAACGAAAAAAGAAAUCCAAAAAAUGAAACAUGUCGACGAGAACAUUUGCAAGUUAUUGUUUUAAUUGUGGCUCCAAUUGUCAUCAAGAAAACUGCAGAUUAUUGUUAGCAUGGCUUCCAUGGAUAAAGUAAUAUCAUUUGAUGAGGUGCUGAAUGUGCUGAAGACUGCAAAUUGCUAGGCCUAAAUCCGGAGUUUGCUCGUCCUGAUUGGAUGAUUCAGCAAGUUCUCCCUAUACCGCCUCCUCCUGUGAGGCCUUCUGUAACGAUGGAUGCAUCUGCGCGCAGUGAGGUAGGUUUUCUAUUAACAGUGGAAAUUUCUCACUAUAGUUUUGUGCUAACUGACGUUGUAAAACAUUUAUGUACAUCAUUUAUGUACAUCAUUUAGUACAAUAUUCUUAAUUGAUUAAAUUGCUUAAUUUACUGCUGGACUCUUUACAUUGUUCCAACAGAAUGACAUAACCCAUCAGUUGGCUAUGAUCAUCAGACAUAAUGAAAAUUUGAGGAAACAAGAGAGAAACGGGGUUCUGCACAGGAGAAAAUUGGUUAACUAGCCUGUAAUUAGUUCCAAUGAUACAAAUUUAUUCAAACUUUUGUGGUUAGGUUGAAGGAGCUAGUUGAGGAAGGCUAAUGUGUUUGUAAGUGGAUUGAAGUAUAUUAGAUUGUUGUUGAGGUAUAUUAAUAAAUUGACAUUAGACUAUU